CCCAGACACCAUUUCAACAGCCAUUUCUCCUACAUAGUAAAUAUCAAAGAAUGUAAAAUCAGCAGCCUUUCAAAAAAAAAUUAGUUCUAUAAUUUAUGUAGGAGGAAAAAAGAGAACCAUUCUUACAAUGGGGAUGGACAACUCCAUAACAGUAAAAAAACACAUGCAUAAAAAACAUCAAUUCAAUUCUAACCCAGAAAAUGCAAGCAUGGGCGUCAGUUCAAAUGAAUCAAAGUCCCUCAAAUUCGGCCUGUCCAGAGCAGAACUGCAAGUAAAUUAAAAAUGAAAGAGAAGAUGAGACCCUAAAUCACAUAAUAAGGUUGAUUGAGAUGAACAAAUGAAAGAUAAAAAGAAGAACAAUCAAAGAGUUGCAGAUAAAAAAACCUAACACCAUGAUAAACCCAGCCAAGGCGCACCGCAGCGGCGAAGCCACAAAUCCAAGGCGGAAGCAGCGGUGCGGUCAGCAUCGGCGGCAGUUCCAAAUCCAACGGUGAGAUGAAUCUAGUGAACAACAGCGACAAAGGAAUUAAAUGAGGCAGUAGGCAGAGAGAAUAAAUGGAAGACGUACAACAGAACUAAAACC
rnacentral:lncRNA from 1 species